CCAGCUUCUGCAUGGCGCUUGUGUGGCAUGUAGGAGAUGAAAUUAUUUUUUUUCGGGCUCUCCAACUGUGUCUGGGCUUUAUUAUGUGAGUUGGACUCCUUCGCAGAUUGGAUUUCCAAUUGGUGUAGGCUUCUGACUUUUGUUGGAGUUGGAUUCCCAGUAGGAAUGAGUUUGUGAUUCCUUCUUGACCCGGGUUGUCCAACCUGUAUAAAUACAGGGCUUCUCUUCACUCUUUCUCAUAUCACAAACUUAACUUCUCUACCUUCUGGCUUGAGAAAGAUUUUGGAGAAUUUGUACUGCUUGUUGAGGAGAGGAGUUGCCGUGCAUCCCAAGUAAGUCGAGCCCGUAAAAAUAUAUAUGUAUGUAUAUAUAUAUUUUUUAAUUUUUUGGCAGCAAGGAGAUGGUCCAGCAUGAGUUGCAAUUCGUGAGCAAUAGCUGCCAAAUAGCUGGGG
rnacentral:lncRNA from 1 species